AGUUCGGACUGUAGUCUGCAACCCGACUACACGAAGCCGGAAUCGCUAGUAAUCGCGAAUCAGAAUGUCGCGGUGAAUACGUUCCCGGGUCUUGUACACACCGCCCGUCACACCAUGGGAGUCGGAAAUGCCCGAAGUCAGUGACCCAACCGCAAGGAGGGAGCUGCCGAAGGCAGGUCCGGUAACUGGGGUGAAGUCGUAACAAGGUAUC
rnacentral:rRNA from 1 species